UCCAAUUCGUUCGCUAUCGCCUGGGCCAUA
rnacentral:sRNA from 1 species